UCUCAGUUCGGAUUGUAGUCUGCAACUCGACUACAUGAAGCUGGAAUCGCUAGUAAUCGCGGAUCAGAAUGCCGCGGUGAAUACGUUCCCGGGUCUUGUACACACCGCCCGUCACACCAUGGGAGUCGGGAAUGCCCGAAGCCAGUGACCCAAGCGAGAGCAGGGAGCUGUCGAAGGCAGGCCGGAUAACUGGGGUGAAGUCGUAACAAGGUAUC
rnacentral:rRNA from 1 species